ensembl:ncRNA lncRNA:CR43989 long non-coding RNA:CR43989
AUUUAUAAAAGUGUCUCGAGAUGCCUCGCCAGCUAUCACUGCUGGAUCUAAACAAUGACUGUUUGGCCAGCAUUUUGAGAUUCUUACCCGCAGAGGAUCACUUGCACUUUGCACACACUUGCACCCGUUUGCGAAAUGUCUUCACGGAUUGCGGAAGGAGUCUUUACAGGAGUGUAAAGCUCACUGGAUCCCGGUAGGAGCUACUCUUAAUGCGAGUAGUUGGGCAUCUGGUGAAGGAUCUGUGCUUGCCAUCGAACUGGAAUGCCCAUGUAGAUUGGCUUAGCAAAACCAUCAACUGCCUAGCCAAGCUGGAGAACGUUACUCUGAACUUUGACCAUUUUCCAACAAUUCACUCGACAGAAGCCAUUUUUUGGACUCUGGAAAAGCUGCCCAACCUAAGAGGAAUCAGAGUAGUGCAAAACAGUGCUUUCCACAACGUCUACAACAGGGCUCAUGCACAAAUGUGGAUACCAAAUUCCUAUACGAACUCUGAGAAACUUCUGGGGACUAUUCAAAAAAGCAAUCCCACCCGACACAUGAUUGGGUGGUUAUUAAUCCAAUACCGGUCAAAGGCCCUAGCAAACAGGUGAUUCUUUUUCUCACCAAUGAAUUCGCGACACAAAUCGAUCGAGCUCGUGGAACCCUAAGUCUUGGCUUAAACUUUGUUCACCCAAGGAUUUAUGCCAGGGGUGCAGUGUCGGGUGGAAAUAGGGACAUUCAAAUGUAGACCAUUCUUGGUUUUCAACUUAUCUAAUACUUAUCUAAUACUAUUCCAAACUUUAGUUCAAUGUCCCACCCAGAUGCCAGUACAAUAGUUAACUUUAUAAGGUUUAUUAAUCUUUAGGUAUUGGAAUAUACACUUCGAACUUUAACAUAUAAGUACAUACAAACAGAAUGUUUAACAAACAGUACGACUUAAUGACUACCAAAUAUCCAGGCCAAGAAGCAACUGG